AUUGAACGCUGGCGGCAGGCCUAACACAUGCAAGUCGAAAGAGUGGCAGACGGGUGAGGAAUGUCUGGGAAACUGCCUGAUGGAGGGGGAUAACUACUGGAAACGGUCGCUAAUACCGCAUACCAUCGGGUGUGCCCAGAUGGGAUUAGCGAGUAGGUGGGGUAAAGGCUCACCGAGGCGACGAUCCCUAGCGGGUCUGAGGGGAUGACCAGCCACACUGGAACUGAUAAACGGUCCAGACUCCUACGGGAGGCAGCAGUGGGGAAUAUUGCACAAGGGGCGCAAGCCGGAUGCAGCCAUGCCGCGUGUAUGAAGAAGGCCUUUGGGUUGUAAAGUACGUUCAGCGGGGAGGCGUUACCCGCAGAAGAAGCACCGGCUAACUCCGUGCCAGCAGCCGCGGUAAUUC
rnacentral:rRNA from 1 species